rnacentral:rRNA from 1 species
GAUGAACGCUGGCGGCGUGCCUAAUACAUGCGAGUCGAGCGAACGGACGCGAAGCUUGCUUCUCUGAUGUUAGCGGCGGACGGGUGAGUAACACGUGGAUAACCUCCUUAUAUGACUGGGAUAACUUCGGGAAACCGGCGCUAAUACCGGAUGAUAUCUUGAACCGCAUGGUUCAAAAGUGAAAGACGGUCUUGCUGUCACUUAUAGAUGGAUCCGCGCUGCAUUAGCUAGUUGGUAAGGUAACGGCUUACCAAGGCAACGAGGCAUAGCCGACCUGAGAGGGUGAUCGGCCACACUGGAACUGGGACACGGUCCAGGCGCCUAAGGGAGGCAGCAGUAGGGAAUCUGCCGCAAUGGGCGAAAGCCUGACGGAGCAACGGCGCGUGAGAGAUGAAGGUCUUCGGAUCGUAAAACUCGGUUAUUAGGGAAGAACAUAUGUGUAAGUAACUGUGCACAGCGUGACGGUACCUAAUCAGAAAGCCACGGCUAACUACGUG